ensembl:snRNA U4 U4 spliceosomal RNA
AGCUUUGCGCAGUGGCAGUAUCGUAGCCAAUGAGGUUUAUCCAAGGCACGAUUAUUGCUAAUUGGGAUCAGUUAGUAGAAUGCUUUAUUGUCAGGAAAGGGAGUUUCAUGUGUAAACUGGUAGGCACC